GUAUGCGAAGCCACAUGGCAUGCUGGAGUGGAUGAGCUGGUCCAUAAUGACUACUGGCCUGCUACUUCACAAUUUUCUACAGUAUAUGCUACAGACAUCCUAUUUUCCUUUGAGGAGUUGAAGUUGGCAGCACCUGGGAUGUCCAGCCUAGCAUUUCUUAGAAUGCUAGAGAAACGAACUGUCCGCUUUGGCCGUACUGGAAAGAUCAUAGCAGACAGCUUCAGAAAAAGCUUUUUGGAGUGGGAGGCAGUCCGAUUUGAAGUGGACAAACUCAUCCAGGAAGACCACUUUAACUGCCCAGCAUGCACCCCACACAUGCUUGCGGUCUCUGUUGAUGGAAACCGUAAGCACUAUAGAUUCAAGAGUGCAGCAAGAUCAGAGGAACAACCAUCUUCGAUGGUGUAUUCAUAGCCAAGGACGAUGAUGGAGCAAGAUUCGUAGACUAUGUCCAUUCCUCAACCAGACAUGCCUCUGGCAGAGGUGUCUGUGGGGGACAGUGGUCAGCAGCACGAGAAACGUCACAGAAGUCCUCCAGCAAAAUAGAUGAGGAGGGCCUAGAACUUGCAGUUUGCCGGCAUGGUGUUCUUCUUUGUGCCCUUAAUAUGUUCAGGGGGUAGGUUUUUGGCUACCCCCUGUACCUCCAGAAAAAAAUGGCUUGUAAGCCAGUGAAAUUCUUUGCUAUGGAUGUUGCGUGCAAGUACUGGCCUUACCUCCAGAGAGUGAAUGAGAGAUGCCCUGAGCUUCAAGAUCUGCUCUCCAUGAAGCCAUUUCUAUCAGUGUUUCAUGCCAAAGCCCACGACUUCAAAUGUGAGGUAAGAAAAUGUGACUUUUCAUGUGAGGUUCUUUCCCUAAACAUAAGAUUGUUGCCACUUAGAUUUUUUUUUUUUUUUUUUUUUAUUUGGAUUUCCUCACUGAUUUUUGCGCUGGUGUUAUAUAUCACUCUGCAUUUUGCAUUGAAUUGACCUACACCAAUGUUCCAUUAGUGCGAAGAUUUAUCAAACUCUUGCCUCUUUGCUAUUGCCGUACCACAACUGUGUGGUUAUCCAACCAACCUCUCUCUUACUAGUGCUAUAUUGUGCAUACACACACAUUAUAAGAAUUGGACCUGGGUUCCCAGACACACUGCACAUUGAUGGUGCUGGCACUGUAACCUGUUUUAACCCAGCACAAGUUCCGUGAUUAAUGUUGAUUCCAUAUUCUGUGAAACCCUGCUUAGUAUAAGUUAUGGGUUCAUAUAAAUACACAAGGCCUUAGAUCAAAUGCAGUACUUCUAUUUAUUGAUUACCAUUUGUUUGUCAACAAAACCUUUUUGCCUUUGUCGUCUCAGGAUGGCGAAAAUGCAGUAGGCAAAAAGUGUGG